GACGAACGCUGGCGGCGUGCUUAACACAUGCAAGUCGAACGGAAAGGCCCUGCUUUUGUGGGGUGCUCGAGUGGCGAACGGGUGAGUAACACGUGAGUAACCUGCCCUUGACUUUGGGAUAACUUCAGGAAACUGGGGCUAAUACCGGAUUGGAGCUCCUGCUGCAUGGUGGGGGUUGGAAAGUUUCGGCGGUUGGGGAUGGACGCGCGGGUUAUCAGCUUGUUGGUGGGGUAGUGGAUUACCAAGGCUUUGACGGGUAGCCGGCCUGAGAGGGUGACCGGCGUCAUUGGAACUGAUAUACGGCCCAGACCCCUUAGGGGGGCAGAAGUAGGGAAUAUGCCACAGUGGGCGGAAGUGUGAUGCAGCAACCUCGUGUGGGGAAUGCCGGAUUUUUGGUUGUAAACCGCAUUCCCGUGUCACGUAGCGUGCGUGACGGUAUUGGGUAAAGAAGCAACGACUCACUACGUG
rnacentral:rRNA from 1 species